AGUGAACGCUGGCGGUAGGCCUAACACAUGCCAGUCGAACGGCAGCACAGUAAGAGCUUGCUCUUACGGGUGGCGAGUGGCGGACGGGUGAGGAAUACAUCGGAAUCUACUUUUUCGUGGGGGGUAACGUAGGGAAACUUACGCUAAUACCGCAUACGACCUACGGGUGAAAGCAGGGGAUCUUCGGACCUUGCGCGAUUGAAUGAGCCGAUGUCGGAUUAGCUAGUUGGCGGGGUAAAGGCCCACCAAGGCGACGAUCCGUAGCUGGUCUGAGAGGAUGAUCGGCCACACUGGAACUGAGACACGGUCCAGACUCCUACGGGAGGCAGCAGUGGGGAAUAUUGGACAAUGGGCGCAAGCCUGAUCCAGCCAUGCCGCGUGGGUGAAGAAGGCCUUCGGGUUGUAAAGCCCUUUUGUUGGGAAAGAAAAGCAGCAGGUUAAUACCCCGCUGUUCUGACGGUACCCAAAGAAUAAGCACCGGCUAACUUCGUG
rnacentral:rRNA from 1 species